rnacentral:lncRNA from 1 species
CUCUUUAUCAAUGUCAUAUUUUCUAAUGUUCCUAAUCUGCAAGCGCAUUGCAUCCAUCUACAAACGCAUUGCGUCCAUCUUCAAUUGCAUUGCAUCCAUCUUGAUCUUGUGAUCAUCGACGACAUCGACAAUAUGCAACUCCAGUUCCAUAUUCUUCUCCUCAAUUAUUUUCAAUUUUUAUUCAAGUAAUUGUUUUCCUUUUCAACUAAAUUUAACGUCUCGACAAGAGGCUGAGUUGGAAUUUCCGAUUCACAUACAUCCUAGAUAAAAACGUCCAUGUCACGUUGGUCGGCAUAAUUGUCAUAAACACUAAAUGAAAGAAAUAGUUAUAAAAUAAAAUAUACCACGUCCGAAUCAUAGGCCGGACGAGGCCGACGUGGGCGGAUCCCAAAACCAGCGCAAUAUAUAGUAACAAAAAAUAAUAAAAGUAAGUAAUUUAUUCAAGUAUCUAUCUAAAUUAUACAAGUAAGAAUUUUUUUUCUUUUAAAAAGAAGAUAAGAACAAGAGGCUCGCCACGGUGGUGCCGGCGACGAGAUCGGCGCGGGCGAUCGACGAGGGUGAGGACGGGCACGGGACGACACCCUACACAUGUGCAGACUCUAAGAAGUUAAUU